AAACCAUCCAACUACACCACAAUUUUCUUUCAUCCCGGGGGAAAACUAACAUUUUCAUAGUUCAAGUUUCAAUCCUCAGCCACACCCUCUGCCCACCUAUUCCCUUCUGGAAAUCCUAGCAAGGACAAAAUAUCUUACUCGGAUGGCAACAGUAGAAAAUAGACAAGCAAAGAGCAUCAUCACCACAUUUUUACUCGAACGCGUCGUCGUCAUCGUCGGGAAGAGGUUGACUUGCUGCUGCCGCUAAUUCAGCUUCA
rnacentral:misc_RNA from 1 species